rnacentral:rRNA from 1 species
ACUCACCUACGGGACGCAGCAGUGGGGAAUAUUGCACAAUGGGGGAAACCCUGAUGCAGCGACGCCGCGUGAGUGAAGAAGUAUUUCGGUAUGUAAAGCUCUAUCAGCAGGAACGAGACAAGACGGUACCUGACUGAGAAGCCACGGCUAACUACGUGCCAGCAGCCGCGGUAAUACGUAGGUGGCGAGCGUUAUCCGGAAUGAUUGGGCGUAAAGGGUGCGCAGGCGGUCCUGCAAGUCUGGAGUGAAACGCAUGAGCUCAACUCAUGCAUGGCUUUGGAAACUGGAGGACUGGAGAGCAGGAG